GGUGAUUUGGUGUAGUGGUAGCAUGCGGCCUUGUGGAGCUCAGUCCGAGCAAUCGGAUUCUACAGUGCGGCCUCGACAGCGGUUCGAUUCCGUUAAUCGCCA